GACGAACGCUGGCGGCGUGCCUAAUACAUGCAAGUCGAGCGGAUGGAAGGAAGCUUGCUUCCUAAAGUCAGCGGCGGACGGGUGAGUAACACGUGGGCAACCUGCCCCUAAGAUCGGGAUAACUUCGGGAAACCGGAGCUAAUACCGGAUAUGAUUAUGUCUCACAUGAGACAUAAUGGAAAGACGGUUUCGGCUGUCACUUCGGGAUGGGUCAGCGGCGCAUUAGCUAGUUGGUGAGGUAACGGCUCACCAAGGCGACGAGGCGUAGCCGACCUGGGAGGGUGAUCGGCCACACUGGGACUGAGACACGGCCCAGACUCCUACGGGAGGCAGCAGUAGGGAAUCUUCCGCAAUGGACGAAAGUCUGACGGAGCAACGCCGCGUGAGUGAAGAAGGUUUUCGGAUCGUAAAACUCUGUUGUUAGGGAAGAACAAGUACCAUAGUAACUGAUGGUACCUUGACGGUACCUAACCAGAAAGCCACGGCUAACUACGUGCCAGCAGCCGCAGUAAUAC
rnacentral:rRNA from 1 species